UAAUUCGAAGCAACGCGCAGAACCUUACCACCUUUUGACAUGCCUGGACCGCCACGGAGACGUGGCUUUCCCUUCGGGGACUAGGACACAGGUGCUGCAUGGCUGUCGUCAGCUCGUGUCGUGAGAUGUUGGGUUAAGUCCCGCAACGAGCGCAACCCUCGCCAUUAGUUGCCAUCAUUUAGUUGGGAACUCUAAUGGCACUGCCGGUGCUAAGCCGGAGGAAGGUGGGGAUGACGUCAAGUCCUCAUGGCCCUUACAGGGUGGGCUACACACGUGCUACAAUGGCAACUACAGAGGGUUAAUCCUUAAAAGUUGUCUCAGUUCGGAUUGUCCUCUGCAACUCGAGGGCAUGAAGUUGGAAUCGCUAGUAAUCGCGGAUCAGCAUGC
rnacentral:rRNA from 1 species